UGCUAUCGGGGUUCGAUUAAGCCAUGCGAGUCGAGAGGGUUCGGCCCUCGGCGUACUGCUCAGUAACACGUGGAUAACCUGCCCUAGGGAAGGGGAUAACCCCGGGAAACUGGGGAUAAUACCCUAUAGAUUACAGAUGCUGGAAUGCCCUGUAAUCCAAAGUUCCGACGCCCUAGGAUGGAUCUGCGGCCGAUUAGGUUGUUGUUGGGGUAAUGGCCCAACAAGCCCGUAAUCGGUACGGGUUGUGGGAGCAAGAGCCCGGAGUUGGAUUCUGAGACACGAAUCCAGGCCCUACGGGGCGCAGCAGGCGCGAAAACUUUACAAUGCGGGCAACCGUGAUAAGGGAACCUCGAGUGCCUGUAAAUGCAGGCUGUUCAGGUGCCUAAAACACACCUGAAGAAAGGGCCGGGCAAGACCGGUGCCAGCCGCCGCGGUAAUACCGGCGGCUCGAGUGGUGGCCGCUUUUAUUGGGCUUAAAGCGUUCGUAGCUGGGUUGUUAAGUCUCUUGGGAAAUCUGGCGGCUUAACCGUCAGGCGUCUAAGGGAUACUGGCAAUCUUGGAACCGGGAGAGGUGAGGGGUACUUCGGGGGUAGGAGU
rnacentral:rRNA from 1 species